GACGAACGCUGGCGGCGUGCUUAACACAUGCCAGUCGAACGGAAAGGCGCUGCGUUUGCGGGGUGCUCGAGUGGCGAACGGGUGAGUAACACGUGAGUAACCUGCCCUUGACUUUGGGAUAACAUCAGGAAACUGGGGCUAAUACCGGAUAGGAGCUCCUGCUGCAUGGUGGGGGUUGGAAAGUUUCGGCGGUUGGGGCUGGUCUCGCGGGUUAUCCGCUUGUUGGUGGGGUAGUGGCUUACCAAGGCUUUGACGGGUAGCCGGCCUGAGAGGGUGAACGGCCACAUUGGGACUGCGGUACGGCCCAGACUCCUACGGGAGGCAGCAGUGGGGAAUCUGGCACAAUGGGCGGAAGCGUGAGGCAGCAACGCCGCGUGCGUGAUGACGGGCUUCGGGGUGUAAACCGCUUUCGCCUGUGACGAAGCGUGAGUGACGGUAAUGGGUAAAGAAGCACCGGCUAACUACGUG
rnacentral:rRNA from 1 species